GACGAACGCUGGCGGCAUGCCUAACACAUGCAAGUCGAACGGGGAUAGCAAUAUCCUAGUGGCGAACGGGUGAGUAACGCGUGAGUAACCUGCCUCAUACAACGGGAUACCUGAGGGAAACUUCAGUUAAUACGGUAUAAGACCACACUGCCGCAUGGCAGAGGGGUAAAAGGAGCAAUCCGGUAUGAGAUGGACUCGCGUCGCAUUAGCUAGUUGGUGAGGUAACGGCCCACCAAGGCGACGAUGCGUAGCCGACCUGAGAGGGUGAUCGGCCACAUUGGGACUGAGAUACGGCCCAG
rnacentral:rRNA from 1 species